CGGCAACGUUCUUGUGUCAUUGGAAGGCACACUAAACCUCUAGCAUGGGUUACCAUAAAGUUAAUGGCUUCUGGCGUAACGUGUUCUGCCGCCAUUAU
rnacentral:antisense_RNA from 1 species